GAUGAACGCUAGCUACAGGCUUAACACAUGCAAGUCGAGGGGCAGCAUGAACUUAGCUUGCUAAGUUUGAUGGCGACCGGCGCACGGGUGAGUAACACGUAUCCAACCUUCCGUUUACUCAGGGAUAGCCUUUCGAAAGAAAGAUUAAUACCUGAUAGUAUGGUGAGAUUGCAUGAUAACACCAUUAAAGAUUUAUUGGUAAACGAUGGGGAUGCGUUCCAUUAGGUAGUAGGCGGGGUAACGGCCCACCUAGCCUGCGAUGGAUAGGGGUUCUGAGAGGAAGGUCCCCCANAUUGGAACUGAGACACGGUCCAAACUCCUACGGGAGGCAGCAGUGAGGAAUAUUGGUCAAUGGGCGAGAGCCUGAACCAGCCAAGUAGCGUGAAGGAUGAAGGUCCUACGGAUUGUAAACUUCUUUAUAAGGGAAUAAACCUCCCACGUGUGGGAGCUUGUAUGUACCUUAUGAAUAAGCAUCGGCUAACUCCGUGCCAGCAGCCGCGGU
rnacentral:rRNA from 1 species